CGCUUCAGGAUCGCCCAGAGCUGGGUCGUACUGAUUCCUUUAGGAAUCAAAUUACUCCCAAUUACAGAUUACAAGGAAUUGUAAUUAGGAAUCAAUUCCUUCAGUCCA